rnacentral:rRNA from 1 species
CAGUAGCCGCGGGAAUACGAAGGGUGCAAGCGUUAAUCGGAAUUACUGGGCGUAAAGGGUGCGCAGGCGGUUAUAUAAGUCAGAUGUGAAAUCCCCGGGCUCAACCUGGGAACUGCAUUUGAGACUGUAUGGCUAGAGUGUGUCAGAGGGGGGUAGAAUUCCACGUGUAGCAGUGAAAUGCGUAGAUAUGUGGAGGAAUACCGAUGGCGAAGGCAGCCCCCUGGGAUAACACUGACGCUCAUGCACGAAAGCGUGGGGAGCAAACAGGAUUAGAUACCCGCGUAGUCCCUGUCUCUUAUAC